rnacentral:rRNA from 1 species
UACGUAGGUGGCGAGCGUUGUCCGGAUUUACUGGGCGUAAAGAGCGCGCAGGCGGUCGUUCAAGUCGCGUGUGAAAGCCCCCGGCUCAACUGGGGAGGGUCACGCGAUACUGAUCGACUCGAAGGCAGGAGAGGGUAGUGGAAUUCCCGGUGUAGUGGUGAAAUGCGUAGAUAUCGGGAGGAACACCAGUGGCGAAGGCGACUACCUGGCCUGUUCUUGACGCUGAGGCGCGAAAGCUGGGGGAGCAAACGGG